UCAAUAACAACUUUCAGCAGUGGAUGUCUAGGCUCGCACAUCGAUGAAGAACGCUGCGAACUGCGAUACGUAAUGCGAAUUGCAGAAUUCAGUGAGUCAUCGAAAUUUUGAACGCACAUUGCACUUUCGGGAUAUUCCUGGAAGUAUGCUUGUAUCAGUGUCCGUACAUCAAACUUGCCUUUCUUUUUUUGUGUAGUCAAGGAGAGAAAUGGCAGAAUGUGAGGUGUCUCGCUGACUCCCUCUUCGGAGGAGAAGACGCGAGUCCCUUUAAAUGUACGUUCGCUCUUUCUUGUGUCUGAGAUGAAGUGUGACUUUCGAACGCAGUGAUCUGUUUGGAUCGCUUUGCGCGAGUGGGCGACUUCGGUUAGAACAUUAAAGGAAGCAACCUCUAUUGGCGGUAUGUUAGGCUUCGGCCCGACUUUGCAGCUGACAGUGUGUUGUUUUCUGUUCUUUCCUUGAGGUGUACCUGUCAUGUGUGAGGCAAUGGUCUGGGCAAAUGGUUAUUGUGUAGUAGAAUUUUGCUGCUCUUGGGCGCCCUACUCGUAGGGUAAAGGAGGCAACACCAAUUUGGGACUAGUCUGUUUCGGCAGGCGCAUUUUCAAUUUGGACCUGAUAU
rnacentral:rRNA from 1 species